GAUGAACGCUGGCGGCGUGCCUAAUACAUGCAAGUCGAGCGAACGGACGAGAAGCUUGCUUCUCUGAUGUUAGCGGCGGACGGGUGAGUAACACGUGGAUAACCUACCUAUAAGACUGGGAUAACUUCGGGAAACCGGAGCUAAUACCGGAUAAUAUUUUGAACCGCAUGGUUCAAAAGUGAAAGACGGUCUUGCUGUCACUUAUAGAUGGAUCCGCGCUGCAUUAGCUAGUUGGUAAGGUAACGGCUUACCAAGGCAACGAUGCAUAGUCGACCUGAGAGGGUGAUCGGCCACACUGGAACUGAGACACGGUCCAGACUCCUACGGGAGGCAGCAGUAGGGAAUCUUCCGCAAUGGGCGAAAGCCUGACGGAGCAACGCCGCGUGAGUGAUGAAGGUCUUCGGAUCGUAAAACUCUGUUAUUAGGGAAGAACAUAUGUGUAAGUAACUGUGCACAUCUUGACGGUACCUAAUCAGAAAGCCACGGCUAACUACGU
rnacentral:rRNA from 1 species